AAAAUACAUUCUCAUACAUUACUCACAAUAACAUUGGUUGUGAUGUGUUAAGUUUUGGUAAAAGAUCUUGAGUGUUUAUUUUGAGUGUGAUGAGAAUCUUGAGUUUUGGAGCGGAAGCUAGAAUCUUGAAGCUUAGCAUUUUCAGAAGCAAUUAAUUUUCUAAGAGAAUGAUAGCUCGCGCCGAGAAAGUACUAUAUGAUUGAGGAAGUGUUCCAGGGACAGGCGGAUGUCAGGCGUAGAACUAUGUAUGUGUCUUAGUGGUAUUAUGGUUUUGGAUUAGUACUUGGGGGCUGAGCCGAGUUUUCUUGUAGGGUUCAAACCUAACCUAGAGACCUUCUUUUUGUGUUGGCUCAGGAGCGGUUGAGCAUUAGUUUACCCUUAUGUUUUUCAAAUUGAAGGAAAUAUUUGUAAUCAAAAUUUUAUUAAUAGAAUGGAAUUAUUCAGUCCAUUUACUCCUUCAGUUGUCAAUUUUUUUUUAAUUCCGCAAAAUUCACCCACAUUUUUGGGAAAGGUUACUAAAGUGACCCUCGAGAAAAUCGGGGAGUUACAAGGUCAGUGGGGGUUUCUGCCUCAAAAGGGUUGCACUUUUUUUAUAUUAAGGACAAAAAGCUACUACAACAAAAGAAAAUCAAGGGGAAAGGUUGUGCUUUUUUUAGAGGAGUGAAGAAAUCCUACUGUACUGACCACCACUUUUUCGGUUAUGGUUUGUAUAGAGUUUUAGAGAAUCUGAACGAUAUUGAUAGGUUUCGACGAUUUGUGAACACUCCAUACAAAGGGCAGAAAAGCUGGUAAGCUACAUUUGUACCAACAGAAACAAUUGGAGCUUUUGAUGACAUUUUUUGCCCGUUUGAAUACGUGCGCACAUGAGCGAAGGUGGCUUUUGCAGCUCUCCAUACAAAUCUCCUCAUUGUGUUCUUCCAAGUUAAUAAUGCUCUCACCCUCUUGAAUCUUGAUUUAUAAACUCCAACUCACUCCCUCUAUAUUUGUAUUUCCUCAUUGCGUUCAAUAGUGACUGGACGGUGGGUUUCUUGAAUAGUUAGUCCGGUUUUUUAUAGAGUUUCUUCACAGCAUCUGAAGUGUCCUUAUGAGUUUGCUCCGUUGAGAGGUGUGAAGAAAAUCUUCAAUACUCACCACCACUUUUCCAGUACUGGUUUGUACGGAGCUUCUCCACAACAUCUGAAGAGGCCUUAUGGGUUUACUUCAUUAAGAGGAGUGAAGAAAUCCUACUGUACUGAUCACCACUUUUCCAGUCCUGGUUUGUAUGGAGUUUCGGAGUAUCUGAACGGUAUUGAUGGGCUUCGACGAUUUGCCCAACACUCCAUACAAAGUUUAGUUGCUAAGGUACAUUUGUGAGAGAACCCUCAACCAACUGAAACAAUUGGAGCUUUCGAUGACAUUUUUGGCUCGUUUGAAUACGUGCGCACAUGAGCGAAGGUGGCUUUUCCAACUCUCCAUACAAAUCUCCUCAUUGUGUUCUUCUAAGUUAAUAAUGCUCUCACCCUCUUGAAUCUUAAUUUAUAAACUCCAACUCACUUCUUCUGUAUUUGUGGCGUUCUAUAGUGACUGGACAGUUGGUUUCUUGAAUACUUAGUCUUGGUUUUUACGGAGUUUCUUCACAGCAUCUGAAGAGUCCUCUUUGGUUUGCUCCGUUGAGAGCUAUGAAGAAAAUCUUCAGUACUCACCAGCACUUUUUUAGUACUGGUUUGUAUGGAGUUUCUUCACAACAUCUGUAGAGUACUUAUGUGUUUAAUCUAUUGAGAGGAAUGAAUAAAUCAUAUUGUAUUGACCAGCACUUUUCCGGUCCUGGUUUCUACGGAGUUUCAGAGUAUCUGAACGAUAUUGAUGAGUUUCGACGACUUGGCCACUACGCACUACGCUGGAUUUCGACAGCCGCCACAGUUGUUUGUGACAAGUGGUCGUGGUUGUGUGAUUUGCUGGUAAAGAGAUGAAAGAAGGUUGAGGGAGAAAGGAUAAAGCACACUAAAAAGUUUUAUUGUAAAAAGGUGAAUUUUGUGGUGCCCGAAAAUUAUUUUGGUGUGAUAUCCGCAUUAAGUGUUUUAUUAUAUUAUUGUCAUGUGUGAUAUGCUUUGACCGUCAAGGCUUAUUAACGACAGAGAGGGCAACAUCUAGAGAUUGUGGCCGACGAACGAUGAAAACUAUGGUCCACGUUCUAAUACCUCUGCUUUAGAUCAAUUUUUUUAUGUAUAAGAGAAGAAGGGUUUAGAAUUGUG